AACGCGAAGAACCUUACCUGGGCUUGAACUACUGGUAGUAAGUCCUUGGAAACAGGGGCUGAUCCGCAAGGAAGCCAGCAGAGGUGCUGCAUGGUUGUCGUCAGCUCGUGUCGUGAGAUGUUGGGUUAAGUCCCGCAACGAGCGCAACCCCUAUCCAAUGUUGCUACUCCCGCAAGGGAGGCACUCUUUGGAAACUGCCUUCGAUAAGAAGGAGGAAGGUGGGGACGACGUCAAAUCCUCAUGGCCCUUAUGUCCAGGGCCACACACGUGUUACAAUGGCCGGUACAAUGGGAAGCAAUACCGCAAGGUGGAGCCAAACCCCAAAGCCGGCCCCAGUUCAGAUUGUGGGCUGCAACUCGCCCACAUGAAGGCGGAAUCGCUAGUAAUCGCUGAUCAGCAGGCAGCGGUGAAUACGUUCCCGGGCCUUGUACACACCGAGACGUA
rnacentral:rRNA from 1 species